GACGAACGCUGGCGGCGUGCCUAAUACAUGCAAGUAGAACGCUGAAGGAGGAGCUUGCUCUUCUGGAUGAGUUGCGAACGGGUGAGUAACGCGUAGGUAACCUGCCUGGUAGCGGGGGAUAACUAUUGGAAACGAUAGCUAAUACCGCAUAAGAGUAGAUGUUGCAUGACAUUUACUUAAAAGGUGCAAUUGCAUCACUACCAGAUGGACCUGCGUUGUAUUAGCUAGUUGGUGGGGUAACGGCUUACCAAGGCGACGAUACAUAGCCGACCUGAGAGGGUGAUCGGCCACACUGGGACUGAGACACGGCCCAGACUCCUACGGGAGGCAGCAGUAGGGAAUCGUCGGCAAUGGACGGAAGUCUGACCGAGCAACGCCGCGUGAGGAAAGAAGGUUGUCGGAUCGGAAAGCUCGGUUGUAAGAGAAGAACGAGUGUGAGAGUGGAAAGUUCACACUGUGACGGUAUCUGACCAGAAAGGGACGGCUAACUACGUG
rnacentral:rRNA from 1 species